rnacentral:rRNA from 1 species
CCUACGGGUGGCAGCAGUGAGGAAUAUUGGUCAAUGGGCGCGAGCCUGAACCAGCCAAGUAGCGUGAAGGAUGACUGCCCUACGUGUUGUAAACUUCUUUUAUAAAGGAAUAAAGUGCGGCACGUGUGCCUUUUUGUAUGUACUUUAUGAAUCAGGCUCGGCUAACUCCGUGCCAGCAGCCGCGGUAAUACGGAGGAUCCGAGCGUUAUCCGGAUUUAUUGGGUUUAAAGGGUGCGUAGGCGGCCUUUUAAGUCCGCGGUGAAAGUCGGUGGCUCAACCAUAGAAUUGCCGUUGAAACUGGGGGGCUGGAGUAUGUUAGAGGCAGGCGGAAUGCGUGGUGUAGCGGUGAAAUGCUUAGAUAUUGGGAAGAACCCCGAUGGCGAAGGCAGCGUACCGGCUCCAAACUGACGCUGAGGCACGAAAGCGUGGGGAGCGAACAGGAUUAGAUACCCCAGUAGUC